rnacentral:rRNA from 1 species
GCUUAACGCGAAGAACCUUACCCACCUUUGACAUCCCGUGCUACCUAGAGAGAUCUAGGGUCCCUUCGGGGCGCGGAGACAGGUGCUGCAUGGCUGUCGUCAGCUCGUGUCGUGAGAUGUUGGGUUAAGUCCCGCAACGAGCGCAACCCUCGCUUCUAGUUGCCAGCAUUUAGUUGGGCACUCUAGAGGAACUGCCUGCGCCAAGCAGGAGGAAGGCGGGGAUGACGUCAAGUCCUCAUGGCCCUUACAGGUGGGGCUACACACGUGCUACAAUGGCGGUGACAAAGGGAUAAUCCCUAAAAGCCGUCUCAGUUCGGAUUGUCCUCUGCAACUCGAGGGCAUGAAGUUGGAAUCGCUAGUAAUCGCGGAUCAGCACGCCGCGGUGAAUACGUUCCCGGGUCUUGUACACACCG